rnacentral:rRNA from 1 species
AACGUAGGACACAAGCGUUAUCCGGAGUUACUGGGCGUACAGGGAGCGUAGGCGGUUGGAUAAGCCCUCCGUGAAAUCUCCAGGCUUAACCUGGAAAGUGCAGAGGGGACUGUUCAGCUAGAGGAUGGGAGAGGAGCGCGGAAUUCCCGGUGUAGCGGUGAAAUGCGUAGAGAUCGGGAGGAAGGCCGGUGGCGAAGGCGGCGCUCUGGAACAUUUCUGACGCUGAGGCUCGAAAGCGUGGGGGAGCAAACAGG